GACGAACGCUGGCGGCGUGCUUAACACAUGCAAGUCGAACGGAAAGGCCCUGCUUUUGUGGGGUGCUCGAGUGGCGAACGGGUGAGUAACACGUGAGUAACCUGCCCUUGACUUUGGGAUAACUUCAGGAAACUGGGGCUAAUACCGGAUAGGAGCUCCUGCUGCAUGGUGGGGGUUGGAAAGUUUCGGCGGUUGGGGAUGGACUCGCGGCUUAUCAGCUUGUUGGUGGGGUAGUGGCUUACCAAGGCUUUGACGGGUAGCCGGCAUGAGAGGUGGACCGGCCACAUGGCGCCUGAGAGACGCACCAGUCUCGUACGGGAGGCAGCGGGGGGGAGUAUGGCGGAAUGGGCCGAAGCGUGAGGCAGAAACGCCGCGUGCGGGAUGACGGCUUACGGGUUGUAAACCGCUGUCGACUGUGACGAAGCGUGAGUGACGGUACUGGGUAAAGAAGCACCGGCUAACUACGUG
rnacentral:rRNA from 1 species